rnacentral:rRNA from 1 species
AUGGACCAGACCGAAGCCCUACCCGACGACACGCUCGCCAGCAUCCUCGGCCGCCUCCCGCCGUGCGACCUCGCCGCGUCCCGCUGCGUCCGCAAGACGUGGCGCGCCGUCGUGGACGCCCACCGCCUGCUGCUCCCGCAUUCGCUGCAUGGCAUCUUCAUCAACUACAUCGACUGCGAGAGCCCGCGCUGCUUCUCGCGCCCCUCCACACAGAAGCCCGCGAUCGACUGCAACCUCGACUUCCUGCCUGGUUACGCCGAGGAUUUCGAUUCAAUCGUAGACCACUGCAAUGGCCUCUUGCUUUAUGAGAGCGACAUGAACUUGUGCUCCUACGUGGUCAACCCCGCCACGCGACAAUGGGGACGUCUCCACUACAAGACCGACCACCGCCACCACCUCGCAUACCUUGCGUUCGACCCCGCCGUCUCACCCCACUAUGAGGUGCUUUUGAUCCCGUGUGUGCCUGACAAAGUGGACCCUGCACAAGAUUCCAUGGAAUGGCCACCAUCCUCGUGGGUGUUUGAUGUGUUCUCAUCUAGUACAAGGAAAUGGCUCAAGAGGUCCUUUAUCCGCCAAGGCGAGGCUGCGGGCACGGUGACCGAUGUUCGGGUAGAUCCACUAGAGCCAAAAUCUAUGUGCGGGGGAGGUCCAAGGCGGCGAUAUAGUGCGUACUGGCGAGGAUCACUCUAUGUGCAUUGUCGCGGUGCGUUUGUCGUCAGAUUAUCUUUGUCGGACAGCAAGUACCAAGUAAUUAAGAUGCCAAUAGAUAUUGCAGAAAGAAAACAGGAUCAAUAUCUUGGCAAAUCAGAAAAAGGGGUGUACCUUGCAGCUAUAAUAUAUGAUAAACAUAUACUCCAAGUUUAUACCCUUGUUGAAUCAAGCAGACACAUAGAUUGGGUGUUGAAGUAUCAUGUUGAUCUCGAGCCAUGUGCAACGGCAGAUUUCCGGAUCGACACAGAUGAGCUCGAGGGAUUUGAAAAAACAUGGACCUUGGAUGGAGGACGACGAGAAUGGAGAUGGGGAGAAGCAGAUGAAGAAGAAGGAGAAGGAGAAAACGGUGGGAUGCUAAUACCAGAGAAUCUAGAAUGGGACUCCGACGAUGAUAAUGUUCUGAAUGUUAAAGCUGAUUAUGGAUGCUUCUAUGGAGGGAACGUCUACUUCCUUGGCUUUCACCCUUACAAGGAGGUUGUUUUCUUGGGGUUAUCAUUUACAGGAAUGGCUUAUCAUUUGGAAAGCUCGAAGGUUCAGUAUCUUGGAGACAUGCGCCCAAAAGAUUACUAUCAUGGACAUGCGAAUGGCAUAUACGAUUCAUUUCCGUACACCCCUUGCAUGAUUGGGAGGCUUCAGAGUCAUGCUUCAAGGAGUCGUCGCCGUCGCAGAAGUUAG